UGGUUGGGAAAGAGAGGACUUCUGACUCCAAGCCUACCCAAAAAUAAGUUUCAGCUAUUGAUGUAGCUUCUUGUCGAUACUACUAGUCUUGUCGAUACCUACUAGAGAAAUCCCUUCUAUACCACUCAACAGAAGCAAAAAUCCCAUCAAGAUAGAUUGAAUCGACGACCUAUACUUCAACUAAAGGCACAAGGGAAUCAAGGGUUCAAGAGCACAGAACAGAGGAAAUGCACACGGGUCUCCUUGAAG
rnacentral:lncRNA from 1 species